AUUGAACGCUGGCGGCAGGCCUAACACAUGCAAGUCGAGCGGAUGAAGGGAGCUUGCUCCUGGAUUCAGCGGCGGACGGGUGAGUAAUGCCUAGGAAUCUGCCUGGUAGUGGGGGAUAACGUCCGGAAACGGGCGCUAAUACCGCAUACGUCCUGAGGGAGAAAGUGGGGGAUCUUCGGACCUCACGCUAUCGGAUGAGCCUAGGUCGGAUUAGCUAGUUGGUGGGGUAAAGGCCUGCCAAGGCGACGAUCCGUAACUGGUCUGAGAGGAUGAUCAGUCACACUGGAACUGAGACACGGUCCAGACUCCUACGGGAGGCAGCAGUGGGGAAUAUUGGAUAAUGGGCGAAAGCCUGAUCCAGCCAUGCCGCGUGUGUGAAGAAGGUCUUCGGAUUGUAAAGCACUUUAAGUUGGGAGGAAGGGCAGUAAGUUAAUACCUUGCUGUUUUGACGUUACCAACAGAAUAAGCACCGGCUAACUUCGUG
rnacentral:rRNA from 1 species